GACAGAGGGUGCAAACGUUGUUCGGAAUUACUGGGCGUAAAGCGUGUGUAGGCGGCCAAGAAAGUCGGAUGUGAAAGCCCGAGGCUCAACCUCGGAACUGCCUUCGAUACUGCGGGUCUCGAGUCCGGGAGAGGUGAGUGGAAUUCCUAGUGUAGAGGUGAAAUUCGUAGAUAUUAGGAAGAACACCAGUGGCGAAGGCGGCUCACUGGCUCGGUACUGACGCUGAGGCGCGAAAGCGUGGGGAGCAAACAGG
rnacentral:rRNA from 1 species